CCUACGGGAGGCGCGGUCAAGAAGAAGGAUGUCGUUCGCGCGGUUGUCGUGCGUACGGUAUCCGGCAUUCAGCGUCCGGACGGAAGCUAUAUCCGUUUCGACGACAAUGCCGCCGUCAUUAUCAACGACCAGAAGCAGCCCCGCGGGACCCGUAUCUUUGGGCCCGUGGCGCGUGAACUCCGUGAGAAGGACUACAUGAAAAUCGUGUCCCUCGCACCGGAAGUACUGUAAAGGAGGAGCAUGACAUGAACAGCUUAAACGUCAAAAAAGGCGAUACCGUCGUUGUCAUCUCCGGCAAAGACAAGGGCAAAAAGGGCAAGAUCAUGGUAGCUCAGCCCGAUGACGAGCGCGUGAUCGUGUAGGGCGCCGCAAUGGUGACCCGCCACGUGAAACCCCGCAAGCAAGGCCACCCCAGUAGUC
rnacentral:rRNA from 1 species